GGUUGGGAGCCGACGAUAGAUGAGCCAGCCAUUAUCGUCUGGUUCCGUACGGCAGACGAUGCGCAGGGGAGAUGCUCACAAUGCUGUGGCUGAAUUCAGUAUUGCGGGUGACGGGAUGCCGUUGAUUUGACCGGGAUCGGGCUUCAACGACGCAUGGGAAUACAUGACGUGAUGAUCGUAUUCGCCGGUAGCUCACCAAACCCGACAUUAUGCCGCUAAUCGAAAGAUAUAAACACCAUCAAAACCCCGAAGACAAGAAAUAAAGAUAAUCUGCCUGGUGCGAUCAGCAUGAUAUCGCGAGUUCGAUUGCUCAAGUUCUGAAGGACGAAUGAUGGUCACCCAAAUGGUUCUUUUCCAUGGUUGUGCCUACACGUCUGCGAGAUGAGCCAGAAUCGAUACUGGCGUGUUCGGGAUUAGAAGACAUCCCUUAAGACACCCUGAUCUUUUACAGUGGCAAGUGACUCAACCGAUAUUUGGUACACAUAAUAAGAAUAACUGCUUGGUUUAUUCGACAGAUAGUAAGUAGGUGGGAGUAUUAACUAAUGCGUUUUCGGGUUUCUCUUGCUAAUUAGUGGCUUUUUGCACCGUGUGAUACCGUAGUACAAUACUGUGAAAGACUCCGUAAUUAUUAGACGUGUCGGGCCGUCAUUUUCUAAACACUAAUAACAACUUUUUGAAAGCUUGAACGAACUGUUAACAUUAGAUUCAUUCACUCAUUUCAAUUCAUUGUUAGUUUCUAGGUAUUCGACUUUAUCAUUGCAUGUUAUAUGCGACUUGUUCAUUUCAUCAACGCGCAUACAUCUCAAAUGCUCGAAGGGCGUUAAGAUGGUUUCUAUUAGCACCACUCUAAAAGCCAACGCACAUUAGAGGUUCCCUUAGAAAUAGCGAUAAUCAGCACUUCAGCUUGACGUGUUUCAUAUAGCAAUAUUGUGGCUGUGAUCCUUAAUCUCGUAGCAUGCCGAGUGAUAUUAAGGAACCACAGAGUUAUUACUUUGCUUUGACAAGGCAUCUUUGACAGGUUACUGCAAUAACAUGAAAAGAAUAGGUUGCUGUUUCUCCGCGUAGUGGAAGGAAGUCGCUUUUAAUCAUGAACUGAACAAAGGUGGAAGUCCCGCUGUCCUCGUCGCCAUAGCUAUGCCGUGGAACCGGCUCUCUCUAUGCGUUCACUGUGGGCGCCUUGGUGUGCGUUAGAAACAAUUAAGGCACGCGGUGAAUGCCAAGGGAAGGCACAAAUUUCAACAAGAGUAGUUUCUAUGGCAGGUCCGAUUAUCAAAACACAGAGUGCGUCUUUCGAUUGAACUUUCAUCGGCAUUGAAAAUUGCGGAUUUCUGCUUGGUUUCCAUCAGCGAGGAUCAAGGACCACCGUGACGAUAUUUUCAAACAUUACUUUGUUAUGAAAACUGUACGUCGGAUGUCAUCGGGACACGCGUGGCACGAACACACGGAAAAUCAAUUAGGGAUUAGAGGAUGUUGGAUCCAUCAUGGUUUCACUGUAUGGCGUACAUUGUAAUAUCGACCUUGGACGUGUUCACGCAAGUCAGUGGCUGGUAUUAGUGGUUAAUCUUGACUGGCGUGUUGAGGGUCGCUUGCCUCUGUCCGAGUUGCCGUAUGCUGUUCGGACAAGUUUCAUCACGGAGUGCUAUAGGUCCGUGUUUUUACAGCUUUAAACUUUAUUGUUCGGACUUCCAGUGCGAGUCUUUUGUUGAUUACACGUCACAGUUCAUGCCGUAGUUAGGAAUUAUGUAGUAUUUCUGGUCCAUCAUCAGAGAAAGAAGUCAACUUGAUAACAUAUAUGCACCCUUAGAGAUAACGGGUUUUUGAUAGGUUUUCGACAACUCAAAAAACUUUAUUUCCUUAUUUCUGUGUUAGUAAUUCUCAUAUAUAACAUCAAUAGGUCUGUUUUUGUUUACGAACUAAAGUGUGUGAUAUGCUUCCAUGACUUGAACGACAUUUGUCUGUGGUUUAACGAAAUUAGGCUAUCUGCAAUUUGCUGAGAACAGCCCCAUUUGCUUGCCACGUCCUUAUACGAUUAUGUAGCCAGUGAAUCCAAUGAAUACUAAAAGAGUCCCAACUUGUUACAAGUGCACGCGUCUUCGCCCAAAUCAAUUUCCUAUUAUCGGCACAUCUUUUUACGAUGCCUCGCAUAAUUGCAACUGGUUAUUAACUUAUCGGGUUUUACAUAUUUCGCUUGAUAUGUUUACAUUACAUCCAGAGCAGUCUUCAAAUUUAUAGAAGCACAUUUUUUACAAAUAUGAAUUCAUCUAACGUUCUUCCAUCUUGACGCCAAGGUCGACCAUCUGACUGAAAUGAAUAAAAAUCACUUUUUUGAGUAUGCGGUACUUUUUUUGUUACAGGAAGGAAGAGUCCAUUGAAUAUGUUUUUUGUUGUGUAGGGUAGCAAGUUCACAUACUGAUGUCGCCCAGAUAUAAACGUACUGAGGGUGGACAGAUUCCUUGACGGUUGGAUUUAUUCUCUCCAAAUAACAAAGAAUGUGGUCCGUGGACUCGUCUUUCCUGCAGAAUAACAAGUCCCCCAACAACCAAGCCAGUGAAACCUCUCGUGGUGCGCCUGACCGUUGUUGGUCGAUAAGAAAACAAAUUUACCAAAUAUCCCAAAAUAGUAUGCUUUCGGUCGGUCCAGGUAAAUGUAAUUCAGCUUUGAUAGUCAAUGUGGUGGCAAAACUUUCAUUUUUGGUGUUAAUUUGUCGCCUUUUCUUCAAUCGCUACCUUCUUUGAGCAGCUAUGUUGGACUUCCGGUCGUAUUUGACCAAUCGGAGCCGUCUACCUGAGUAUGGCGAUACUUUCAGCACCAAGGAUGAUAUCUCAUUGAUCGGCCAAUACCGACUGGAAUUCCCAAAUCGCUGCUUGAGAAAUGUGAGGAAUGACAAAUGGGGACAUUACAAUACUCCAGUCCAGUUUAACCUCAACCUAUAAUCGUAUUUGCCACUUUCCCCAAGCAGAAUCUUUCACACUUCCGGUUGUAUUGGUCAAUCAGAUGCCCUCAAUACGCCCUCAAUCCUGAUCCGGCUUCACCAUUCAACCAAUCACAAGGAAGUACGGUCGUAUUGUAACUGCGCAAGACUUCUGGUGAUUUUCGCAGAGAAUGAUUGCACGGUAGAAGCACACCGGAACUAAACUGUAAUCGGAACCUGGUUUUAGAGAAAAGGCGGUUCCAACGCCAGCUCAUGUGGUCGCCAUUUUGCACCAAGUCCCCGGCUUGCCCUGUAUACACAUCUCGUGUUGCACCCAGCGAAUUGGUAAAUAAUGAAUCUUCAUUUCUGUAAUGUACCCAAGGGGUCGCACAAUGAUGGCUUGGUCACGCGAGGAUUGCGAACUAGCCGAGACGGGUCGGGGAUUGGUCCAUUUUCCCCACCACAAUGUGGUUAUCAAAGAUUUAUAUGUUAUAUCUUGUUUCUUGUUCCGUUGGGAAAAAAAUCCUCAAUAGGCUGCAUGUUUGCCAAGAAUUAGCGGCAAGGACAUGACGUGUAGAGCAUUUAGGUUGAUGGCUUGGACCUUGUCAGACGAGCCUCCUACUGUUUUGAUGUAAGGGAGUUAAUUAGAAAAACAUCGGUUAUAAAAUAUUCAGGGAAACCUUGAACUGGAACUUAGAUUUUUUUGCGAGACGUCUCGCAAAUAUUGAAUGAAACUAAGAGUAUAUUAUAGAACCUGUCUCGUCGCGUUAUGUAUUUU